GUGCUCGCUUUGGUAGCACAUAUACUAAAAUUGGAAUGAUACACAGAUUAGCAUGGCCCCUGUGCUUGAAGCAUUCCAUAUUUAACAAAUACAUACAUACAUAU